AGUGAACGCUGGCGGUAGGCCUAACACAUGCCAGUCGAACGGCAGCACAGUAAGAGCUUGCUCUUACGGGUGGCGAGUGGCGGACGGGUGAGGAAUACAUCGGAAUCUACUUUUUCGUGGGGGAUAACGUAGGGAAACUUACGCUAAUACCGCAUACGACCUACGGGUGAAAGCAGGGGAUCUUCGGACCUUGCGCGAUUGAAUGAGCCGAUGUCGGAUUAGCUAGUUGGCGGGGUAAAGGCCCACCAAGGCGACGAUCCGUAGCUGGUCUGAGAGGAUGAUCCGCCACACUGGAACUGAGACACGGUCCCGACUCCUACGGGAGGCAGCAGUGGGGAAUAUUGGACAAUGGGCGCAAGCCUGAUCCAGCCAUACCGCGUGGGUGAAGAAGGCCUUCGGGUUGUAAAGCCCUUUUGUUGGGAAAGAAAAGCAGCAGGUUAAUACCCCGCUGUUCUGACGGUACCCAAAGAAUAAGCACCGGCUAACUUCGUG
rnacentral:rRNA from 1 species